GGCCUGUAGCUCAGCCUGGUCAGAGCGCCGGACUCUUAAUCCGGGUGUCGGGGGUUCGAAGAGCCCUUUUGCUUGCCA
rnacentral:tRNA from 1 species